rnacentral:rRNA from 1 species
UACGUAGGGGCAAGCGUUGUCCGGAUUUAUUGGGCGUAAAAGAGCGUGUAGGCGGCCAUGUAGGUCCGUUGUGAAAACUCGAGGCUCAACCUCGAGACGCCGAUGGAAACCAUGUGGCUAGAGUCCGGAAGAGGAGAGUGGAAUUCCUGGUGUAGCGGUGGAAUGCGCAGAUAUCAGGAGGAACACCGGUGGCGAAGGCGGGUCUCUGGGCCGAUACUGACGCUGAGGAGCGAAAGCGUGGGGAGCGAAACAGG